CUGGUUGCACCCAAAUGCCCGUAGUUCCCCUAUUUUACUUUUUUUUUUUUUUACCCCUUUAUUUCUUGUCUGGAUCUAUGUCCUAGGUGCCUUUAUCUUAGUGUUCCAUGGAUGGUGUGCACCGCUUGGCCUUUAUCUGCCGUCGCCAGCUCGCACGAUGAAAUCCACGCGUAUGCGUAGAUGAACACUUGUUCAUUUGCUAUUGUUUGAAUUUCAGACUGAAUUACGAAUAUUUGUACAUUUGUCAAAAAGACGACUGAACGAAUAGAAAUUACAUUGAAUGAAGCGAAAACUGAAUUUCAGUUGUCUCCCUUCAGUCAUAACCCGUCAACGGCAGGGGGGAAAUUUAAGGGAAAAGUAGGGGAAGUAUUGUCUUGUGCACAACAAAUGUAGAGGGUAAAUCUAGAGAAUGUAUUGCAAUGUUAAAGUAUUCUCCCGAAAGCAACAACUAACAGGAACAUACAGAGCCAGUGUGUGAAUCCUGACACCGGAUCAGGGGGAGUAUCGUGACCAACCCUCACACGGCAUUCACAGAGUUUAACCAAAAGAUUCAAAUGUUCAUUUAACUUUUCUGUUUAAAGGGAAGAAAAAGAAGAAAACUCGAGGAGAUCAUUUUAAGCAGCGAUUCCGAAAGAAUUUCCAAGCUCUGCUUGAAGAACAGGUAUUAGUCACUGUGUCUCGUGUCACUGUGUCUCCCUGCAGCAAGGGGGAACAGAUUCCCAGCGCCCCUUGUCUGUGUCACCCUGCAGCAAGAGAGACCAAUGUAUAGCGCCUCCUGUCUCUGUCAGUGUCACCCUGCAAGGGGAGGGACAGACUCAUAGCGCCCCCUGGCUGUGUCACUCUGCAGUGGGAGGGACAGACUCAUAGCGUCCCCUGGCUGUGUCAGUGUGUCACCCUGCAGGGAGAGGGACAGAUUCAUAGCGCCCCCUGUGUGUGCCACUGGGUCACCUUGCAAGGGGAGGGACAGACUCAUAUCGCCUCCUGUCUGGCACUAUGUCACCCCCUGUCUGUGUCACCCUGCAGCAAGAGAGACCAAUGCAUAGCACCUCCUGUCUGUGUCAGUGUGUCACACUGCAAGGGGAGGAACAGACUUAUAGCGCCCCCUGGCUGUGUCACCCUGCAGGGGAAGGGACAGACUCCUAACGCCUCCUGUCUGUGUCAGUGUGUCACCCUGCAAGGGGAGGAACAGACUCGUAGUGCCCCCUGGCUGUGUCACCCUGCAGGGGGAGGGACAGACUCAUAGCGCCCCCUGUCUGGCACUGCGUCACCCUGCAGGAAGAGGGACAGACUCAUAGCGCCCCCUGUCUGGCACUGCGUCACCCUGCAGGUAGAAAGACACUCAUAGCGUGUUUUUUUUUUUUUGUUUUUUUUCUGUUUCAGAACUUAAGCACAAGUGAGGGUCCCAAUUACUUGACAGCUUGCGCCCUUUCAUCAAACUUCCCCCAGCGCCACUUCUGCUCUGUGUGUGGCUUCCCAUCCAAUUACUCCUGUGUGUCUUGCGGUGCGAGGUAUUGCAGCGUGAAAUGUUUGGGGACUCACCAAGAAACAAGGUAAGGACAAAUAAAGCUAGCACUAAACCCUGUAGUAGCACUCAUCCUUCUUAAUACUUCAGACUCUGGGAUUUAGAAUAGAAGCAGAAAUACAGAGUUUGUAAAGCACAUUGACACAUUAUUGUGCUCCAUUCUUUCCUUCCUUCUCAUGCUGUUGUCCUUAUAGUCCCGUCUUCCUCCUGUCCGUUACACCUGUGUAAUUUCUCCUGUUUGUAUGACGACUUUCCUUUCUCUGUCUUGCCGAUGCCUGCGUGCUGCGCUGUUUGUCACGUUGCUGGCUGAUCCGGUCUCUUUCUCGUUUUUCCAGGUGUUUGAAGUGGACGGUAUGAAACCUGCUCCAGCUGAACAUUGACUCGUUAUCUUGUAUUUUCUGUAAUUAGCUGUAAAUAUUUUUAAAAUGGCCUGCACAUUGUAUGGACAUGUAUGUUGUUUCAUUCUUUUUACAUAUAUAUUUUUUUAUUUGAUAUUUAAUGUUUAAAUCGGGGUAGUCUAAAUUUGUGCCUCUGACUACCAUUCCUAAACCGGGUUAUUCACUUAGCUGGGAAUUCUUGGGAAAUGACCGAGAUAUUUCACAUUUUAGGCCAAAAAGCCAAAAACUUAAAAAAAAAAAAAUUCAGUUUGAGCUGUUUUUCCCUAAAAUAAGAAACUGAAUUUUCUCUGAUUCCUGCAUUGUGUGAACGUUGCGCUCUCUCUAUGUGAGUUGUAGUCCAGAUGUUUCUGAUUUGCCCAGAGAGUAUGGAGUAAAUGUAAUAUUGAAAUUCAUUGAACAAAACCUGUAUUGCAGAUUUAAAUAAGUGGGGGCGGGUUUAAAUGUAAAAAUAAAGCAAUGACUAUUUUUCUCUUUUCUCGUAUUGCCAGUUUAUACAAGUUGCAGUCAGUGAAUGAGUUCAUGGAGAGACCAUGUAAUAGGCAGUAUACUCAGUAUACUUCACACAGUAAAUAUAAAACUGCUUCGGUCACAGACUGAUAUGUAGAAUAUGGUGGUCGGUACGUGCUCGUCUAAAGGAAAAAUCAUCAUUUUUUUUUUUUUUAAACUAUCUCUAACCAACCCCUUAGUCACCCCCAAAUACCCCU
rnacentral:lncRNA from 1 species